AUCUGACCCCCUCCAUAACCCUUUCACGCCUUCUCCCCUUCCCUCCAUGACCAUGGCGUCUUCUCCUCUUACCUCCAAAACCUUGACGCCUCCUCCUUCCCCCAAAUCUGGAUCCUCUCUUGCUGAUUUAUAGAUCAAUCUUGCUCAAGAUAAUCUGCAGCCACUACACACAAGGUUGAUAAGAAGGGCAAACAACAUGAGGUACUCAAUCGAGCCGGGUUUAAAUUUGGAUGAAGUAGCAGAACAGAAUAGACCAGUACUUGACGAAGAUGAUGAAGAUGCUUUCAUCGUCGAGGAGAUUGGGGAUUCUUCGGAUGAACGACAAGUAAAGCCAAUCAGGACAUUGGAAUCCAGGAAGGGGAUGGUGUUCGAUAGUGAGGAUGAUGCUGUCAGGUUCUACAAAGGUUAUGCCAAAAAGAAGGGCUUUGGUGUGAUGAGAAGGACGACUAGAUACGGAGAAGAUAACAUGGUUACUUAUUUUACUCUCGCUUGUAGCAGACAAGGAAAGACUCAAUGCUCAGAAAAGAACUCAUUUAUGCCUAAUCCGUCGACAAGGAUGCAAUGCCCAGCUAAGAGUAAUUUCUCCCGCCGUGAGGAGAAGUUUUGUAUUACGUCUCUUACGCUUGACCACAAUCAUCCUAUAAGUCCAAGCAAAUCCAGAUUUUUUAGAUGCCACAAGAAGUUGGACUUGCAUUCAAAGAGAAGGCUAGAAUUGAAUGAUCAAGCAGGAAUCCGUAUGAACAAGAAUUUUGGUUCUCUUGUUAUGGAAGCUGGCGGAUAUGGAAAUCUUGAGUUUGGUGAAAAGGAAUGUAGGAAUGCAAGAGAAAAGAAGGCUGCAACUUGGUGCUGGAGAUGCACAUGUUGUUUAUCAAUAUUUUCUUCGUAUGCAAUCAAAAGAUCCAGACUUUUUCCAUGUUAUGGAUGUGGCUGAGGAUGGACGUCUGAGAAAUGUCUUUUGGGCAGAUGCAAGAAGCAGGGCUGCAUAUGAGUCUUAUUGGGAUGCCAUCACAUUUGACACUACAUACUUAACAAACAAGUAUAAAAUGAAGGAUAUGAGGCUGGAAGUUUUUUGUUCUUUCCAAAUGAGUUCCAGGAGCUACAAACAAAUGAACCUGCUACACCAACUCAUAUCAUGUCUUACAUUGAUAUUCUCCAGGGAAAGAAAGAUGCCAUGGACUUGCUCGCUGCUAACCUGAAUGGAUGAAAGGAGUCUGGAGUACUUCAGAAUGUAACUGCAGUUUUAGCCUUGAAAUUGUAGUGAGGUUAUAUGGAUAAUUCUGGUAAAAAAUGACCGGAGCUCUGUGAUGAUGCUGAUUUAGUUUUUGUUAAAUGAUUGAAAGAAAGUACCUUCUGUAUGAGAUGCAUAUUUUGUGG